UGGCGGACGGGUGAGUAACGCGUGGAAAACCUGCCGUAUACUGGGGGAUAACACUUAGAAAUAGGUGCUAAUACCGCAUAAGCGCACAGCUUCGCAUGAAGCGGUGUGAAAAACUCUGGUGGUAUACGAUGGUUCCGCGUCUGAUUAGCUAGUUGGUGGGGUAAUGGCCUACCAAGGCAACGAUCAGUAGCCGGCCUGAGAGGGUGAACGGCCACAUUGGGACUGAGACACGGCCAAACUCCUACGGGAGGCAGCAG
rnacentral:rRNA from 1 species